GUCCAGGUCAGCGGUCAUAUCAGGACGCCGUCGUGAGCAGACUGUAAAUCUGCCGGCUCAGCCUACCCAGGUUCGAACCCUGGCGCCGCCA
rnacentral:tRNA from 1 species